AUCACCCAGGGACCUUGUUAAAAUGCUGAUUCUGAUUAAGUUGUCUAGAGUGGAGAUAAAGAAUCUGCAUUUCUAACAAGUUCCCAGGUGAUAUAGA
rnacentral:pre_miRNA from 1 species